AUCCUUAGCUAUAGGAAGAGCAGGGUAAACCUCAAAUAUAUAUAUUUUUUUCUCUUUUUCGGGACUUCUUCGUCUUCUCUUUGUUUUCUCCGACGGGGAUGGCAUUCAAUCAUCGUCUCUAAAUCUCCUCUCUGCUCCUUCGAAACCCUAAAGUACUCUUCGAUGGCGGAAGUAGAGAACAAAAGUCACGAGACCUGGAUUCCUCGCGUCGAAGCUGAAGGUCUUCCCCAGCGUUUCGCUUCAAGGAUCGUAGAGCUGAUUUUGCUGUUAAGGAAGUAGUAUCAAUGGGUAGUGAAAGUGAUUCGAUAUAAGAGAAAGCUGCUGCUCGUAAAGAGGCACUUAGAGCUCUGAGAGCAGCUCAGGUACUUUUUGAGAGCAAGGAAGAGGGAGAUGGUGAUGCUGCUGUUGAAGAAGAGUGAGUAUGCUUUGUUAUUUGGCAUGAAUCAUUGAAAAAAGCAAACUUGUCAAAGAUAUUUAGGGAAGGAACGAUUUGAUUAGAAUGUGGUUGUUGAUGAUAUGCUUCUUGUUGUGUGUUGGUUAAAGCAAAAGAAGUAGCUCCCAAGAUAAAGAGCUUCAGGAUGGUAAAGUUUCACCACCGGGAGGGUCCUUGUUGUCUUAUAUACACUCUGCUCCACCUCUUAAGCUAAAACAAAAUGGAUGGGUUGGAAACUUUGAGCAUCAUGUACUUGCAGUUGGGAAUAGCGAUUGUUAAUGACUUCAAAAGUGUUGAAGGAGACAGAGCAAUGGGACUUCAGUCUCUCCCAGUAGCUUUUGGCACUGAGGCUGCAAAAUGGAUAUGCGUUAGUGUUAUAGACGCUACUCAGCUCUCUGUUGCCGGUAUGUAGUAUGACUUCUAUUUCUUGUGUUUGAUCUUAUGAACUAGAUGAUCAUUAGUGAAUGUCUAUUCUGGUUGCGGUGUAUCUUGUAGUGAAAGUAUUGUCUUUAAAACUCUUCUCCAAACAAGUGUAAAACAAAUUCUCUUCCUUCUCUACAUUUUCAUCACAAAAUUUAUACACAGAGUAAUCAAAAACAAAUUCUGG